GUCGGGAUAGCUCAGUUGGUAGAGCAGAGGACUGAA
rnacentral:tRNA from 19 species